GACCCAGCUGCUCUGGUGACUGAGGUGUGGGUCGAGUGGCCGGGGGCCUCUGCCCAUCGCCCUGCCGGCUGGGAGGCGGUCCCAGGGCCUGUUCCAGGCUGCCUGUGGAGAAAGGCAGCGCUCUUGGUUUCCGUGGUGAUGGCCUGCAAACGCCCUCCCGGGCUCCGGGCACCUGCCUGGAGGGGGUGGGGUCUGGUAGCUGAGAGGGAUGAGGGGGGAAGCUCUGCUUCCCCUCCCCCAGGGCCCCGCCGCGCGUCUGAUUGGCAGCAGGAGCUCACGGUCUGAAAUGCGCCAGCGCCCGGCUCUGACCUGGGAAGCGUCGAAGGAUGAGGCCUGGGCUGGACUCCACUACUGCACGAAGUGGACAGAACCCUGCCCCAAUCCUGCCCCCACCUCAAUUUGCAGAGUGACCUUGGAAGGACUGUGGUGGCAACUACCAGGAACAGAAAGCCAGACCAACAUGUUACCCAAAGUGGGGUCCGGCUGCUCGCCGAUCUAAAGCCAAUCCUCGAGAGGCAAAGCUGGUUGAAAGGAAAAUUUGCUUUAUUCCGGAGGCCGGCAACUGGAGGGGAGGGAGGACUUGUAUCCAAAGGCCAAGUCCCCCCUGAAGAUCAGUGGGCAAGAGGUUGUUUUUUUUUUGCGGUACGCAGGCCUCUCACUGUUGUGGCCUCUCCCGUUGCGGAGCACAGGCUCCGGAUGCACAGGCUCAGCGGCCAUGGCUCACGGGCCCAGCCGCUCCGCGGCAUGUGGGAUCUUCCUGGACCGGGGCACGAACCCGCGUCCCCUGCAUCGGCAGGCGGACUCUCACCCACUGCGCCACCAGGGAAGCCCCGGGCGAGAGCUUUUAAAGGGGAGUUUCAGGGGUGUAUAAGGGGAGGGAGGGGGCUACAUGCAGAACAGCACAGUCAGCUCUGACAGUCACCUUGAAAUCGGUCAUCGGUGGUCUGACCAGCGUCAUCUUGAUUGUUUAAGUGCAGUUAGUCUUCAGGUCCAGGGCUGGUUUGUUGCCAUUUCUUUGAGACCAGCUGUCGAAAUUGUGGCAGCUUGUGUCAUGGCUAGAGGCUGACCACCAUGCAGUUAACUUCUUGCUGGUGGCGGUUUCGGCAUCUACAAAACAGCUCACAGGACGUGGCUCAGAACAGUAUCUCCAGCCCUUGAGGAGGAACUAAAAGUCCUUGACUCUGCUCUGAACUAUUAUUAUUCUGUCCUGUCUGUCUGUUUUCCUUUGCUUCUGCAUUUUCUCACUUCGCUGAUUAAACUUAUUCUUUGUCUAAAGUUUUUCCACAGACAAAAGGCAGGUGGAGGACCUGGGGGGCAGGGGGUGGGGGAAGGACCACAGGGUCCUGCUCUGUUUCAAACAGAGGACUCAGCAGGGCAGUUCACUGUCUCACGGUGGCACGCUGCUGCAGACGCUUCCCGAAGACGUCCAGGUCUUUAUUCUCGGAACCUGUGAAUGCCAUCUUACCUGGAAAAAGGGACUUUGCAGAUGGGAGAGGCGGAGGAGAUAUGACAAGAGGAUGGAAGAGAGAAGGAGAUGUGACCAUAGAGGAGAAGUUGGAGUGAUGCAGCCACGAACAAGCCAGGGAAUGAAGGCAGCCGCCGGACGCUGGAGAAGGCAAGGAAGGGAUUCUCCCCAAGGGCCUCCAGAGGAGGCACAGCCCUGCCAACACCUUGGUUUCAGCCGAAUGAAACCCAUUUCAACUGCUGAUUCCAGACUUCUGAGGGAAUACAUUUCGACUGCUUUAAGCCAACCAAUUAGUGGUAAUUUUUAUACAGCAUCAACAGGAAACUAAGACACUCCUGAAACAAGAAGUAUGGAGACGGGCAUCACUGGCGCUGAGAAAGAGGCAAUGAUGUCCUCAAGGACAUAGGCUCCUCUCCUUUCCCUCAACCAUCCUUGAAUGUUGGCUAUUUGUCCUUUGGCUUGUCGCCUCAUGGACAUAAACUGGUUGCCAUAGCUCCAGGCAUCACAUCUUCACUUGACAGCAUCUAAAGCAGGAAGAGAUGAAAGUUGGGGUGGGAGGGGUGGCUUCUCCUUAUGUGGUCCUGUCUUUCAUCAAAAAGGAAAAUCUCUUCCAGAAGCCACUCAGUGUACUUCCUAGGCUGGUCCAACCAAGGGCACAUGGCUACUCUGGGCCAGUUGAUCGCAAAGGGAAUAGACAGCUCUGAUUGGCUUAGACCAAUCCCAAGUCACGUCCAGGCCGGGCACAGUCUCCCCCUGCACAAGCAGGCUCUGUUGGCAAGUUGACGAGGGGACGCGUCUGGGUGCUCAGCCUAUGUCAGAGAGUUAGCAGUGGGAUGGGCUCAGGCCGUGGCCUCCUGGGUCCCCCCACCCAGCUGCCUCCCUAGGGCACCCCCUACUGCCUGUCUCUGGAGGGGUCACCACCCUGCCUUGGCAGGACAGCGACACCCGCCUAAUGUCACACACCCAGCAGGCAGGCCCUCUGCCCACAGGGACCUGGCUGCCCACGCCUCCCUGAGGGUCUCCCUUCCGUGGCUCCUGCGUCCUCCCCUCAACUGACAAGUCUGUUUCGGCCUGGAAGGAAACCGAGGCCUGUCAUGUUAACAUUAACCCACCAGGACUCCGUGCCCCUCUCACCCCCUUCCUCCCCUCCUGGGGGCUUCCCAGGCAUCUCCAGGCUCUGGACUUCCUGGCUCUGCCUCUUGUCCAUGUCGGCCGCCUUACCAGCCCUGACCCGAAGGACUCCUUCCUCCAGGCUGCCGGGUGGCUCCUGCCAAGGUCAGUGUGACCCAGCCCUCCUUGGCCUGAAGCCCCACGUCCUCAUGACCACAACCCCUGCUGCCCGGAAAAGACAGACAGGCCCCCGGGGACCCUGUGCUCAUGGGCCGUGGGGCAGAGGAGGGCUCUCGGCAGGUUUCAGAGGAGGAGGUUACGUGGGGGCUGUGGUGGGGAGAGCCCUGGGGCUGGGGGGUAGCAGCGCCUGGUCCCACUGCCCUGAACUGGGACACUCGGUGCCCCGGGUCCUGGGCAGCCGGGGUGGCUGCCUUUCCUGCUGUUUCCUGUCCUCCCAGCCCCUGAGCCCCCAGAGUCCAACCCACCCAUGCGGCCUUGUCCCUGGAGACCCAGCUGGCUUGCCCCGUCCUGGACAGUCCCUCUGGGCCUCCCCCGGGGCCCGAGGUGCCUGCCCACGUAGGACUCACUCGCUGGGUGGCCCCCUUCCUCCUCACGGUACCCCUGUCCCGAGAGCCCCUCCAGGGCCCAGGCCGGCCCCCACCUUGACCGGGGCCCUUCGGUGAACAAAUGGGCAAGUGAUGAGCUCCUCCCCCACCGCUGUCAGGGCCUCCUCUGGCCUCUGCACACCCAGGGCCCCAGCCCCUCGGCGCACCUCUGCCCGUCCGGGAGGAUUCCCAGGUCGGUGGGAAGGGGCCGCCUGGGAGCCCAGGGUGAGGGCUUCUGCUCCCCUGCCCGUGCCCACCGUGGAAGUCUUUUUGGGCGCCGGCCAGUCUCCGCCAAGCCUCAAACUCGGGAGCUGCUGAAACCAUCCUCUGCUGUCACGGGCCUCUCGCCGCCACUUCUACAAAUGUGUCCUGUGUCCCCCUCCCGGGUUCUUACGAUGCCCUUGGUGUUCGGCCGUCCACCAGUCCAGUCUGGCUGCGGUUCAAAAGCCUGGCAGGGCUGAAGGGGCCCCUUGGACUUGGACCCGGCAGGGGUGAGCCACAGCUGGCUCUGCACGGGGCCUCCCCGGGCCCCUCGGGGUGAGCUGUCCUGGGGGGCAUUUCCUGCUCUCCUCAGACCCCCUGGGCAGGGGCCAUGUCCACAGCGGGGCCCUUGCUGGGGCUCUAGUGCGUGGCAGCUCUUUGAGCCUGGUGCCCUUCCUAGUGUUAUUUUUAUUUAUGUACCUGAAUCCUCCAAACAGCUGCUUUACUGAGAUUCAUCC